GUUCUGGGCUUCUGGCUGCAUUCUAGGAAGAUCAUUCCUUAAAAGAAAUAGCCAUAUGGCUUAUAAGACGUGGAAUAAACUUGACAAAUGCUAAAGAUGCUCUUUGAUUUUUGUGUGGCAUGAGACCUCAGGCUGAAACUUCUCAUCUGAGCCAUUGAGGGGAGCCUCUCAUCUCUCCACCGAGAGGGGGAGACCAGAAUGGUUCCUUCAGGCACAUUCUGUUGGGCUUCCCUCUACCUCCCCACUCUGCUGCUUUCCAGCUCUUUUUGAAUUUCUCCCUGCUGAGGAGAGGGAAGACCAGCUAGGAGAGGAUCUGGAUUGAGAAACUUGCCAUGCUUUUCUCUCAGAUGUUCUCUUUUCUCUGAAGACAGCAGGACCUCAUCCAAAGCUCUGUUUCUGGCAGGAAUCUGACACCACUUAAUCCUUGGGUAGAAACUCCCCCAAGUCUGAACUAUGUGAUUGCCUGAGCCCUGCUCCUUGUUCAUUAAGACUGCUCCUCUGAAAUGGAAUUGAUGAAUUUUCAGUGGCUAUUUGAAGCAUUUGGGAUCCAUAGGCAUCAGGGCUUGAUGCAUGGCCCUCAUCUCUGUGGGCUCCUGUGCAAUGAUUCUCAUCUGUCUUAGUUAGAAAGU
rnacentral:antisense_RNA from 1 species